UACGUAGGGUGCAAGCGUUGUCCGGAAUUAUUGGGCGUAAAGGGUUCGUAGGCGGUUUGUCGCGUCGGGAGUGAAAACUCAGGGCUUAACCCUGAGCCUGCUUUCGAUACGGGCAGACUAGAGGUAUGCAGGGGAGAACGGAAUUCCUGGUGUAGCGGUGAAAUGCGCAGAUAUCAGGAGGAACACCGGUGGCGAAGGCGGUUCUCUGGGCAUUACCUGACGCUGAGGAGCGAAAGUGUGGGGAGCGAACAGG
rnacentral:rRNA from 1 species